ensembl:lncRNA novel transcript
AGCCUCGGCGGGGCCCGGCCGGCGGCGGGGAGGUCGCGGGGCCGGGAGGCGCGAGGUUGUUCGAGAAGCUGAAAUAGAAAUCAAUUUCUUGAUUUCAGUAGGAAUAGUGAGUCCCUAAGAGGGGAGAAGCCAGCUUUCAUUUCCUGAGCUGUGGAAUGCUUGCUUUUGGGACAAUAUCUCUUGGAAUGCAGCUGCCAUACUCUGAGAAUCUGAAGCCAUAGGGAAGACCACAUGUAGAUGCUCCAGUUGACAAACCCAGCUGAGCUCCAAGUUGACAGCCAUCAUUAGUCACAAACCACAUGAAGGCAUCAUGGCUGUUUAACUCAGUUGUAACUUGUAAUGACUCUAGGCCCAACUACCAUCUGACUGCAACUGCCUAAGACACUCUAAGUGGGGAUUAUCCACUUGAGCCUAGGAAAUCUUCAGAACUGUGAAAGAUAAUGAUAAGUUGUUUUAAGCCAUUCAGCACAAAUUGUAGUACAAUUUUCUUAUCAAAUAUCAUAAUUUUACUAUAUAUAUUUUAGCAUUUUAAAUACAGCAUGCUGUUUUAAAGUACUUACAAUAUGGCUGCAAAGCCUAUAAAAUAUUUAUUUAAAAAUUAAUUUGUUGAGCUAUUUAAGGGUAACAUUUUAUCUACCAACUUUGGAAACCAACUAUUUAACUUGGCAUAGAGUAGCAUUCUUUGAAAUUAGCAUAAUGUUUUUAACAGAUCAGACCUAUCUUGCCUUUUACACAUUCUCAUUCCUUAGUUCAUAAAUAUGUAAAAUUUUUAUCUUCUUAAUCAAAAACAUAUAUCCAUUAGGCAUUAUGUUACUUUAAAAUUAACAAUCUGAAAGUCACCAACUACUAGGAGGGUUUCAAUAGGAGUAAUUUGAGACUGAGAAGGUUUAAGUCAUUCUUCAAUUUCUCUUUUAAUAUAGUUGACUUGUUAAUUUAUAAUUCUUAUCCCAUCCUACACAAGGGUAUCUAUUUCAUUUUUAUAAAGUUCUUCAUGUCGUAGAUCUUGCAGCUCAAAGAGAACAUAUACAUCUAAGGCUUAAGAAGGUAGAAAGUGCAUAAAACAAAACUCUGGACUAGUACUCUGAAAAACUGGAUUGCAGCUCCAGUUGUGUGGCUAGGUUUGGUCACUUCACCUUUUAGUUUUUAUCUUCUUCCUCUAUAGACAGAUAUUAGCUCUUCUUUAAGGUCCUUUCUACUCUAGUUGGUGACAAAGCAAGUCAUUUUUAUUAUCAGUACUGUCCUCUUUUCCUGCAAUGCCUCUUUUUCCCCUAACUUUUGAGAAGAAGCCAAGUUAUGCUGUAUCACCUUGUUUUUCAUGGUUGGCUCAAAGUAAAGGUUAUGUCUACCUAUAACAGCUGCAAAAAAAUAAACUAAAUGUGUGAAUAUCUCCAUUUUUAGACAUCCUAUUAUUAUCUGUGUCAAUUUCUGUGUUCACAUGUGUGUCAAUAAAGAAAAUAUAAUAUUGGAAAAAUUGUAGAUAAUAUUAUGAAUUGUGUAUGUAUAUAAAUACAAUAAUUAAAAGCAAUUAG